UACGGGGGGAGCAAGCGUUGUUCGGAAUCACUGGGCGUAAAGGGCGCGUAGGCGGCCGAUCAAGUCGGGGGUGAAAGCCUGUGGCUCAACCACAGAAUUGCCUUCGAUACUGUUUGGCUUGAGACCGGAAGAGGUAAGUGGAACUGCGAGUGUAGAGGUGAAAUUCGUAGAUAUUCGCAAGAACACCAGUGGCGAAGGCGGCUUACUGGUCCGGUUCUGACGCUGAGGCGCGAAAGCCAGGGGAGCAAACGGG
rnacentral:rRNA from 1 species